rnacentral:lncRNA from 1 species
GAGCGGGGUUCUUAAGCGGUACUGAGGUGCAGAACGGGAGUGGGAAUGCUCACAUGUGAUGAGCAGCCUCCUGUACCUCACAUUCUGAGACCUCACAUUCCAUCUGUUGUCACAGGGUUAUGGAGACUGUGCUAAUGGCACAAGGACCUCACUUGGCUCCAGAGUGCGAGGCUGUAAGGUUUAAGUGCCAUCCCAGAGGAAUUGCCACCAAAAAAAAAAAAAAAAGCCUUAAUCUGAGCCUGUAUCUACCCCUGCUGAUGAACAACUAGAUGGGUUUUGGUUUUGCCAGCUUCUUUCCUCCCUCCCUCCCUCCCUCCCUCCCUCCCUCCCUCCUUUCUGUCUUUCCAUUAGUAGCAAAAGGGUGUUUUUAGCAGAACUUUAAGUGGCAGUUUCAUUCUUGAGAGUGCAAGGUAGAGCACCUUACGGGUGUAUUUUUAUGUGUAUUUUAAAGCUUUAUGUAUGAGAGCUAUAGGUAGGCAUUUCUUAAUAACACAAAAACCUACAGUUGAGAUUUGCCUUUAAGACUCUUGGUUUUCCUCUAACCAGGAGCCCACGUCACCGCCAGAGUCCUGGAGCUAGAGCUAAUGACUCCAGAGCCUUGGGGUGGAAAUGGAGAUUCGCUUAUUCCCUGGGUGCUUGUUUUUCCUCCAGGAAAACCCCGGUGUCUUCUGACCGCAGCCAGGGUUGCCCUCCUUCCCUCCAUUCUCUCCCAAAGUAAAUUGACUCCAGCACUUGCCUUCUCCCCGGAGUCCUAGGGGAGGUAUAGGACUCUGCUUGUCUGUAACCUGAGGUCUGUAAUGUGAUUGCUUUCCAGUUUUGAGAGAUGCAAGUGGGAAUAGUUUUUACAUUGUUGAUAAUCUAUAGAACCUAAGUUCAACACUUCAACACAGCUCUUUCCAUGACUGUCAGUUAGGUAUCAUUCCUGUAAUAACACCCAUCCAGUUUUGUGAGGGGCGGGCUUGGAUACUGUGUGGUUUUUGUACAAAUGUGUUUCUCAGUGUGGGUUUUUGUUUUUUGUUGGGUUUUUUUUUUUUUUUUGGUGUUUUUUUGUUUGUUUAUUUGUUUUUUUUCUUUAGGUUUUGUUCUAAUGAGGUAAAGGAGCUUUGAGAGUUUGGGAGAAAAUGAAUGAAAGUGGCUUAAUGUCCCUCGUUUGCAUUGAAUAAAUGAAAUACCAUUUAUGAAUUCUAGUCCCAUUCUCUGCAUUCAUCCAUUCAUUUCUAGUGUGUCCUGUAAAGAAAGAGUACUCAGUCUCACCUGGGCCUGGUUAGAUCUUAAAAUGCCGUUGCUCGGGGCCUUUACACGUGCUUUAGUGUGAAUGGAUGCCUUCCCCUUCAUCAAAGGAAGAUGAGGAGGACAUCCUGCCUCCUCCCAGGGGAACAGCCCUAGUGAGCCAGAGUUAGUCAGGUACCGCUUAGAUGGAACCCGGUCUCAUCAGCCGAUAAGAGGUGCUUGCAACCAAGCCUGAUGACAUAAGUUCAGUCCCGUGGCUACACACAUAGUGGGAGAGAACUGACUCCCAAGAAUUGUCCUCUGGCCUUCACAUGCACACUAGAAUUACAUACAUAUAUAUUUAUAUGGGUUUAAUUUUUAAGAUAGAGUCUCACUGUUGUACCAUCUUGACUGGCCUGGAAUUCACUAUACAGAUCAGUCUGGUUUUGCACUAACAGAUAUCCAUCUGCCUCUCAAAUACUAGAAUUAAAAACGAAUACCACCACG